UAGACCACACAGGGCCAGGCCGAGCUGAUUGACCAGGCAUCUUGCACAACACACUCCCUUCGUGAUAAACUUUAAACUUUAACACAAAGAUGUCACCUGCGGGCCUCGCCAACACCUGCAUCUCACCUCAGCAGUUUGGCGAUUCGAAGCAGUGACCGGCUGGCUUCGUGUCAUCCCGGAGUUCCCGUCGCCAGUGCAGAGAGAGAAACGGUGAAGGAAGCACAUAGCGUUAGAUGUCUCCGCUGCAGGCAUGGUGAGUCUAUCUGGCAAUUACUACUUGAAUUUACAGAUCACCGCUAUUUUGAGGGACCGAGAUAGCGGUGGCGGUGGAGGUGUUGGUGGUGUCACGUAAUGGCAGCAGUGAUACCCCCCCUUCCCCCUCACCGCCACCUUUCAUGAAAUGGCUGGAGGAACAAAGAAAUGCGUCCUGGUAUUACACAUGGGUGAAGUUGCGGCGCUGAUCACAACACUCCAGACAAGAAAAGACACUGGACAAACUGGUAACAUGGUACACGACCAAAGAUCCCUGCUAGUGAAUCUGCAGCCCGGCGUGUGAUGGAGACCUCUGCUGGCUGGUUGAAUGACUGGCUUGGAGGCGCGGGGCUGUGGACGCGACUGUCACGUGUUUCGUAAUAACGUGGACGGAGUGGCGGGGACCUGCCUAAACGAUGGACGCAUCCUUACUGCCGGCUGCUUCUCACUUAUGACUUAGAAAAGUGAGGUACUGAACGAGAGACACUUCUUUCUUCCCGGGACAUGGCAGCGGCGUUGAACGAAGAUACUUACUCCCGGACUAUUGUGCAUAUAGAAUUAAGGUGCCUCUGGAGGUGAACUGCACCAUCGAUAUAAUUGAAUGGCGUGUAUAUAACACAAAAUAAUAAAACACCACACUCG